GGCAACGGCGGCGGCGGCGGCGACGGCGGCGGCGGCGGCGGCGUAACGCGUUAAUGAAAAUGGCAACGCGCUGCGACGCCAUGCGGCAACCUCGACAGGGUACGUUCUGCCGCAAAUUGCGCUGCUUUAUCAAUCUGAAAUAACACCGGCGCGGAACAAUUAGCGAGGACGCCGAGACUUACGGGAGCUUCGCCGACCAGCGGAAGGAUCACGUUGCGGUAUGGCUGACAUAUAGACGGAUGUAAUCUCCGGGUGAUGCCGUGCUCGAGAGAGUUUGCAAGAGAUUUGCAAUGCCCUGUGAUGAGCAACAUAUUUUCAGUUCGCAAGCAAAGGAUAGCGAAAGCAUUAAUUCGCAAAGCAAAUGACAUAGCAUACGCAGCAACUUAGAAAUACACAGGAAAACUUCAAGAUAGUCCAAUAAGAAGUAAACUAUCUCUGGAAAAGAAUGGUGCAUUUAUUUUAUUAAGUCUACUGCAAAAACUGUAUUAAUAAAAGAAUACUGUGAAAAAGAAAGGCAUUUUAGAGGAUAA